rnacentral:rRNA from 1 species
UUCCGGUUGAUCCUGCCGGACCCGACUGCUAUCAGAGUGAGAUUAAGCCAUGCGAGUUAACGUAGCAAUACGUGGCGCACGGCUCAGUAACACGUAGUCAACAUGCCCAGAGGACGUGGAUAACCUCGGGAAACUGAGUCUAAACCGCGAUAAGUGAGGAUUUCUGGAAUGGUUCCUGACUAAAAUCUAUAUGGCCUCUGGAUUGGACUGCGGCCGAUCAGGCUGUUGGUGAGGUAAUGGACCACCAAACCUGUAACCGGUACGGGCUCUGAGAGGAGGAGCCCGGAGAUGGGCACUGAGACAAGGGCCCAGGCCCUAUGGGGCGCAGCAGGCGCGAAACCUCUGCAAUAGGCGAAAGCCUGACAGGGUUACUCUGAGUGACUUUCGCUAAGAAAGUCUUUUGGCACCUCUAAAAAGGGUGCAGAAUAAGGGGUGGGCAAGUCUGGUGUCAGCCGCCGCGGUAAUACCAGCACCCCGAGUGGUCGGGACGAUUAUUGGGCCUAAAGCAUCCGUAGCCGGUUCUGCAAGUCCCCCGUUAAAUCCAGCUGCUCAACAGAUGGGCCGCGGAGGAUACUACAGAGCUAGGAGGCAGGAGAGGCAAGCGGUACUCAGUGGGUAGGGGUAAAAUCCGUUGAUCCAUUGAAGACCACCAGUGGCGAAGGCGGCUUGCCAGAAUGCGCUCGACGGUGAGGGAUGAAAGCUGGGGGAGCAAACCGGAUUAGAUACCCGGGUAGUCCCAG